ACUUAAUAAUCAAACAAAACAUUUUUUUAGUUCUGCUUUAUGCUUACCUAUUAAAUAUGUUUUAAUUUAUAUUACAUAUAUAUUAUACAUUUGCUGUACCUUUUUUCUUAUACGGAACAUGUUUAUAAGCCGUAUAAUCUGCUUGUUAUUGAAAUGAACUUUACUUGUACGUGGAGACUAAAUAAAAAAAGUAAUGAUUGGAUAUUGAACUCCCCCUUCCAUUAACAAAUUGUUUUGUACUCCACUGCAUGUAUGUGCUAUUUAAAUUCAGUUAUCAAACAAUUUUUCUGAUUUCUUUGUAAAUUUUCUAUUAGUUUAUUAAAUUACCAUUUGCUUUUGUUCGUAGCUACAAUAAUAAUAUUAUUAUUUAUAAUUCGAAUACCAACACCAGCAUCUAAUUACACAAAUAUUUCUGUUUUUCUUUGAAUAGUUAUUAUUUGUAUUAAACAUUUUAAAUUAUUUAAAUAAACAGCAUGUUUAGUAUAAUAUAAAUCUCUGUAAAAUAAAAUUAUUUUAUGGUAGUAAGCUAUACAUCACUUUACAUAAAGCUUUGUAUGGCAUGUGUUUGUAAUUUGUAUAACAGGGUGACGAUGAUUAAUUAGGAAAAAUACAAACGGGCGCAUGAAGCUUUACCUCAAACAACCCUCGUCAUUUGUUACAAGUUUUCAGUCAUUUUCAACAGCCUCUUGGUGGUGUUUCGAAAUUCUAGUAACUAUUCAGUGCUCUCUCGAAAAAUAAAAAUAUACUCUUGUAUUUAAGUUGGUAUACAGAAUAAAAUAAUUUACGAGUGUUCAACUAAAGUAUUCUAUAAAACGGUCGACACAUUUUAAAUUAUGUAAUGGAAAGUAUUAUAGGUUGUACGCUUGAUAUGUAUACGACAACUGACAAGUUACACAAUAUUCGUGAAUCUAUACAGUGGACAGCGGUAAUUAGUUUGACUGCAGUACAGAAACAAAUGGUGGACAGUUGUCGCCUGUCGGUCAAGCUUUAAAGGAUAUUUCGAAAUUCUAUUUAUUAUUAUUAUUAAAUCAAAUGGAUAAACAUACAAAUUUGAAUGUAACUCCGAUCUUCAGACUUUAGUGUCAAUGACAAUAAAUAAUAUUUUUUCUAAUAGAGUAGUAAUUAUUGUUUAUUGCAGUUAACAUUGCUUUGGGUUAAACAUUCAUUUAUAUCCUGG